rnacentral:rRNA from 1 species
UACGGAGGGUGCAAGCGUUGUCCGGAAUCACUGGGCGUAAAGGGCGCGUAGGCGGCCUGGUAAGUAGGGGGUGAAAUCCUGCGGCUUAACCGCAGGGCUGCCUUCUAAACUGUCAGGCUUGAGCACGGUAGAGGCAGAUGGAAUUCCCGGUGUAGCGGUGGAAUGCGUAGAGAUCGGGAAGAACACCGGUGGCGAAGGCGGCUCUCUGGGCCUUACCUGACGCUGAGGAGCGAAAGCGUGGGUAGCGAACAGG